rnacentral:rRNA from 2 species
CUCCGGGAAACCGGGGCUAAUACCGGAUAACAUUUUGAACCGCAUGGUUCGAAAUUGAAAGGCGGCUUCGGCUGUCACUUAUGGAUGGACCCGCGUCGCAUUAGCUAGUUGGUGAGGUAACGGCUCACCAAGGCAACGAUGCGUAGCCGACCUGAGAGGGUGAUCGGCCACACUGGGACUGAGACACGGCCCAGACUCCUACGGGAGGCAGCAGUAGGGAAUCUUCCGCAAUGGACGAAAGUCUGACGGAGCAACGCCGCGUGAGUGAUGAAGGCUUUCGGGUCGUAAAACUCUGUUGUUAGGGAAGAACAAGUGCUAGUUGAAUAAGCUGGCACCUUGACGGUACCUAACCAGAAAGCCACGGCUAACUACGUGCCAGCAGCCGCGGUAAUACGUAGGUGGCAGCGUUAUCCGGAAUUAUUGGGCGUAAAGCGCGCGCAGUGGUUUCUUAGUCUGAUGUGAAAGUCCCGGCUCAACCGUGGAGGGUCAUUGGAAACUGGGAGACUUUAGUGCACAAGAGGAAGUGCAAUUCCAUGUGUAGCGGUGAAUGCGUAGAGAUAUGGAGGAACACCAGUGGCGAAGCGACUUUCUGGUCUGUAACUGACACUGAAGCGCGAAACGUGGGAGCAACAGAUUACAUACCUGGUAUCCACGCCUUAACAUGAUUGCUAGUGUUAAGGUUUCCCCCUUUUUGCUGAAUUAACUCAUUA